CGUAGAAUUGAGCCCGUUGGUGCACUUGCUCGAGUGAUUUGAGCAAGGUUAAACGGGAAUCAGGGCGCACUUUUUCACAGUGCCAACCUGAACUGCCCCCGCAACAGUAAGUGAGGCGCGCUGCGUCAAACCGCGGUGCAAGGUAGCACACACAGCCACUGAAGCCUGAAAGCCUUUGGGAAGGCGUGCUGCCCAGGCCCACCAGUCUGGAUACCGGCCAACUAACCACAUGGAAC
rnacentral:ncRNA from 2 species